GCAGCACCGCAGAGGUGAGGGGCGGAGAGCCCAGUCGGCCAGCGUCUGUUCACCCGAGCCUGAAUCGCUAGCUGAGCGAGCACUGCCGCGUCCGGCACCAUGCCGGGAGCCCCACACCCCUCAUCUCAUCCAAGCUGCACCAGGCAUCGUUUGGCUCUCCCCACUACACAGAUGAGGACGAUAAGGUGAACCAACUUUCCCAAGGUCACGUAACACAUGGGGGUCUCCCGGGAAGCAGGAUGUGAACCCCACUCUGUCCAGUUACUCCUCUGCUCCUCCCCUCUGUCCUCUGGCAAUGGGAUGUAGAUGCUGGCUCUGCCAUGAAGGGUGUCUUUUGGGUGACACACUUCACCUCCUAAAGCCCAUGCAUUCCCGUCAGUAAGAUGGUGCAGAAAGGCACAGCCCUCACGGACUGAGCGAAGAUGGCUGAGGUGAUGUCUGAAGUGCAUUACAGUACAGUCAUGCCCCAUGGAAUGACUGCACAGCCAAUGGUGGUCCCCUACGAUUCUAACACUGUAUUUCUACUGUACUUUUUCUAUGCUUAUGUGUGCUUAGAUAUGUGAAUACCACUGUGUUACAACUGCAUACGGUACUCAGGACAGUAACGUGAUGUACAGGUUUGUGGUCUAGGAGCAACAAGCUGUAGCGCAUGGCCUGGGUGUGUAGGAGGCUGUGCCGCUUGAUAUUUUUUUCCUUCUCUUCCCUGGAAUUGCUGUUUGAUUUCCCUAAGUAUACUCUGUGACCGCACAAUGACAAGUUAAAUUUCUCAAAACGUAUUUGCAUUGCUAAGGCAGGCACGGCUGUGUAGUAAUAUGUCCCAUCAUCAACCCGUGAGGGUGUCACAGGUGGGGCCUUUAGCCAGGGAGACGCAGCCUCGCCUGGAGUCCUCCUCUCGUCUUCCUCUGUCUCAACCCUGCUGCAGCCCUCCUGGGGUGAGCGGCCUCUGCCCAUGCUGGGAGCAGGGAGCAGCCUCUGGCUGGCCCACGAGGCUCUGUCGCAUCUCUGUUCCCUCUGCAUGGGGGUGGCUGUCGACCCUUGGGGCAGCUGCAGAGGCCGCAAGAGGGGCCAUAGCUCUCUCAGGCUCCUUAUAAACAGCCAUUCCUGCCACCAGGAACGUGGCACAGGGUAGGGAAGCCCAAGAGGAGAUGCUGGAACACAGGCAGGGCUGUCUGGGGUGCCACAUCCCAGGGACAAGAAUAGCUGGCAUUAACUGCUCUAACUAGAACUCCUCCCAGUGUGAGCACUGCUGCGGCUGCAAGAAGCCCUUUGAGGGGCUGCGACCCCAAGGCGCAGGCUCAAGGAUGCAAGGCUGAUUGCAACA
rnacentral:lncRNA from 10 species